rnacentral:lncRNA from 1 species
ACCAAUGAUGAGUAUUCUGGGGUGUCUGAAUCAAUGAUUUUGAUUAAACCCUGUAACUCUGAGGUCCAUUAUAAGAGGAGACCUAGUUAAUACCUAUAUGGUAAAUGAUAUUAUAGUGGAAGUUAGAAUUAUUUGGGAUUUUGUUCUUAGGUGGUUGAAGUUCAUAGGUGUGGAUUGUAUUACUAGAAAAGAUUUAGUAAAUGAAAAAUGAAACAAAUAUGUAAAUAAAGGAAGACAAGUAGAGCCAUAUGUUGCCUAAUUAUGAGAAUGUAUAAUGUAUUUAUUAUUAUUAACACACUUCUGAAGCACUCAGUUUCAACAUAAAUUGAUUAAAUCUGAUACCUAUUUGGGUAAGGAAUAUACAUACAGAGACAAGUACCUAGAAAUCAGUAUUGUUUGUCCUGCAUUAUUUAGAUGUUGCUGUUUCUUAAUGAACACAAGAAAAUAUGAUCUAGUCUGGGAAUCAUGAGCAAAUGACAGGUGUUAACGCCAUUCAUAUUUCUGAUGCAAUCUGUAUGUUCACAGAUAUUGAUGAUGUCAUGAGUGAAUGUAUACACAGGAGUGAAUGUAUUCAGUUAUUUGAGGAAGGAUAAGUCUACUUUUCUUCCACGUAACAACCACAGGAUAGAUGACAUUCAUUUUCUAAGAAACAAAAUCUUGGCAGUUAGAUCCGUGGGGUAAAGAAUAUAGAUACUAAUCCUGAGAGAAUAUGGAAGACACUGUCAGUGUUGGAAGAUGGUGGUUUUAUCACUUUUCAUUGCACUGUCUUUAAAACAUGGGCAAAUUGACUAAAAGAAGACUACAGAAGAAAUAAUGGUGAUUGUGAAUUUGAAUGAAAACCAUGUAGCUGGUCUUAUUAUUCUCUAAUCAUGAAGACCAUUAUUGUUAUUUGUGGACUAAGGAGCAGAAAGACUGAUAGUGGACAUAGGCCAGCUGAUUUAAUAAUUUAAGAAAGAACUGUUAUCCUGAGUAAGGAGCAUAGAGACAAAUAUAAAAUGAACGCACUCUACCUGAUUUAAUUAUAGUCUUCUGGUGAAGAUCUUGCUGUUAUCUCUGUGAAUCAGGAGAGAAGAGAUUGAUGAAUAGACGAGAUUGGAUUUGGUCAUUUCCCCAAGGUGAAGAGCAUGGCGAUUUCUUCUGUGGUAAGGAGCAAUAAUGAAGACCAUGGUUGAUUUAAUCAGUCUCUGCUGAUGAAGAUCUUGGCUGUUACCUUUGUGUGUAAGGAAGCUAAAGACUUAAGUAAAUAACAGUCCAAAAACUUGUCAAUUAGGAAUGAAUGCGCAAUGAUUCAAUUAUUCUCCAGCGAGGAAGAUCAUGGUUGUUGUCUGUUUGAGUAAUGAGUGUAGAAACCUAUGUAAGUAACAAAGUGAUUGCUUUUGCUUUAGUGGUUGUUAA